rnacentral:tRNA from 1 species
GCGCCCGUAGUUCAACGGAUAGAACGAGAGCCUUCUAAGCUCUAGACGAAGGUUCGAUUCCUUCCGGGCGUA